AACAACCCCUUAUUUCUCAAGCAAAGUCUGUAGAUUUGGAUGUAUUAUAUUUUCAAUUCUACCUAUCUUGGAAGUUUUGAACCAAUUAAAUGAUGAUUAUACAUGUAAUGAUCAUGUAGACAAAUUCUCUAAGAAAAAUGUGGACUUUGAUUGCCGUUAUUUGCAGCUCUUUUCUUAUGCAGACAUUUGUUUUUGAGCAAUGAUGGCCAAAUGACUAUUUACAAAUGCUGGAAUAUUAUUCAUGUGAUGCAGGAAAUUUUGAAGCCAAGGCACAAGCUCCAGGUAUUUUGAAUCACAAGUACAUAAAAGUUCCUUGAUAGAACGAACUUGCAUCAUGAACGCUUACUGCAACCAUAUCUGAUUGUAUAUAGGAAUUUAUUAAAGGUCAAUUCUAUAAAGAAUAUUAACCUGUUGGGUAAUGAAAAAGCAGUCGUAGUAGUAAAAUCCACGCAGUACCAAAUACUAGUCAUUUAAUAAACUGACUUUAUUUCAAAAUGCUUGGCUUUGUAAGGAAAAACUAGUCAUUAUUUCACUCUCUUUCCAAAAUCUAUCUUAUUUCACUCUCUUUCCAAUCAGUAGUGUUAAUUAAGAGAGAUGUUUGAGAGAGAGAUAACUGAUACUAAAAAAGAGUCCUGAGUCCACUUAGCAAAUCAAGAAAGAAUUAACCUUAUUUUUUCAUAUUUGCCCCUAUUAAGUGUUAUAUGAUCAAAUCCCAAUGCCUAUUUAAUUAAGGGUAGUUUAGUUAAAUUACCUAUUUUUGUCUAAGAAUUAUUAUUUUCUCAAGGGGUGUACAAAUGGCUAAAUGGACUUUUUUUUUUUUAUCCAGAGGGAGUAGUUCAGACAACUAUUCUAAUGAUUAACAGCAUUAAAUAUAUUUUUAACAAGUGUGCAAAAAACUUCAAAAAUAUGGGCCAGAGAAAGUAGUAAACUUCACUCAUGUUGAUUGCUAAGCUCACAGAAUGCUAGAAAUUGCUCAAAGAAGCAAGCAUUUCAUAGAAAAUAACACAUGCAUAACAAAUUAAUGUACUACUAAAAUGUCGUAAAAACACAGGUAUGACAGCUGAUAAUAACGACAGAUUUCACAAAAUUGACAAAGAACAAAACUGGCUUGAACAAAUGCAACUAUGUUGCAAAGAAUCUUUUUUUACAAUAUAGAAAUUGGUUACAUGGUGAUACUGCAGAAAAGUAGAGAACUAAAGAUCUCAUAUAAUUAACUCUAUCUGUUUGUAAAUAGUCUUUAUUCUCAUACAACCGUGAGAUCACUGUGAACUUAAUCUACAUAACAAAAACGACUUUACCACAGUAGAAAAACAUUUCAUACAAACUGCUGAAUGAAAACUAUG